rnacentral:lncRNA from 1 species
AUAUAAAACAUCAGUCCUGCAUAAAUGCAUCGAACCUUUUAGAAUUUUUGUAUUUUAGUGUCAGCUUAAACGAUGUUUAUUUUGGUGCUUGAGACCAUUUCCAAGCUUUAUGCACAAAUCCCUUUAAAUUGUAUUGUUUAACUCUCAGUUCGAUCGGGAUUAUAUAUGAUUUAAAAAGAAAAAAAAAUAAUGUAAUGGCUGAAUAUGAUACUGAGCACUACUGCCCAGCUCUUAGCUGCUGCAUGCUGGUUCUCUCUUUGGAUAAAGAUGUCUGCCUUACCCAUCUGAAUUUUCAUUCUCUGCGAUUUUUGUAUUUUUUAUGGAGUUUAAUACAUAUUAAAGUUCACCAAAAAAAAAAAAAAUGGAGUUUAAUACAAGAGAGCACACUUUAUUUUAUUGUUGCCGUACGUCAUAAAACACAUAUACCACUCAUCAUUAUGAGUUGUACACUACUCACAAACACAUAGACCAUGAACACAUUUAUAAGUAAGAUACUUUUUAGCAAAACAAUAAAACAUGCAAGGGAAACGCGAUUUACAAUGACGACUCCAAAUCAAUUUGAUGUUGUAAGGAGCACCAACAUUUUCCAACUCUUUCACACUUCUCACUGCUUCCACUUCCUUAAUCGUCCCUCCCAACGUCAUGCCUGCAAAAUUUUAUAUAUCUUUUAUACAUCUUAUAUGUAGUUACUGGAAUUACAAAAAAAAAAAACCUAAUCUCCAAUGUAACAUGGAAAUCAUAUAAAUGCAUUUAGCUGGAAACACUCACUUAUUAAAGUGAAGAGAACGAGAACUACUACAAACACAUCACUUGUUUUCAUCGUCCUCAUUAUUAUUUUUAUUAAUUUGAUGCGAAUUAAUAAUAAUGUUAUGCAGUAUACUACAUCUCUUUGGGUAUAUAUAUACACACGUAUAUGCAACACCGUAUCUCUAAAAUAUCCGUUUCAAUAUUUUUUUGGUCAAAACUUCUAAUUAAAUCAUUUGAGUACAAAACUAUUACAUUCCUUGAAUGUGAGAUUUUCUUAAUCAUCUUAUAUGGAAUAUGAUCUCUAGGGAUUAAUAAGAAUGAUCCUGUGAACUUUCAAAAUAAAAUCCUUAUAGAAACAAAUAAUAUAAUAUUAUCUACUCAUUAAAGUAUUAAAAAUUGGAAAGGCUAAGCUAGGCAUGAAGAAUAAAAGAAUUUUAAUUAUCUAUAUUUCCUUAGAAAAUAAAUUAUACUAUAUAUGAUAAAUUGUAUGAUGGGAGGAGUUUAAAUAUUACUUCAUAACAAGUUAAAAUUUCGUUAAAAUUUUGUUUAAUAACACAAACUUAUAUGUCGAAUAGAACUCAUUUAGUUAAGCUUCAUAUUGUAUAAUCUUAAUAAUUUAAAAGAAAGUUGAAUUUAAAACAAAUAAAGAAAAGUUUGGCCCGCUAGAUUAUUCCAAUAUAAAGUUUGCUGAAUUUGCACGGGUUUAAAAUCCAUGAAUAUAAUAGAAUUACAUUAAAGAGAGAGAGCUUUGUAUAGAACCAAAACGCAAACGCAUAAACAUUCACGUGUACAGAGAACGAAUAGCGUUGAGUUUGGGCGGUUUUUUACUGCUUCUUCUGCACAACAUUCUCCAAAUACCAUUCAUAAGUUUGGGAGAGACCAUCUUUCAUAGAAAUCUUCGGAGUCCAUCCCAAAGAUGCGAGCUUGGAGUUGUCCAUCAGUUUCCGCGGUGUUCCAUCCGGUUUGGUGCAAUCCCAAACAAGCUUUCCUUCAAACCCAACAACUUCCUUCACCAACUCAGCCAAUUCUUUGAUCGUCACUUCGAUACCACUGCCUACAUUAACAUGCUCAAAUCCGCUGUAUCGACCCAUCAAGAAAACGCAAGCAUCAGCCAAAUCAUCAACAUGUAAAAACUCCCUCAACGGACUACCGCUUCCCCAAACCACAACUUCAUCUGCAUUGUUGGCUUUGGCUUCAUGGAACCUCCUCAUGAGGGCAGGAAGCACAUGGGAAUUCUCCGGGUGGAAAUUGUCAUUUGGACCGUAGAGAUUGGUGGGCAUACCGGAGAUGGCAUCCCAUUGAUGCUGAAGCCUGUAAGCUUGACACAUCUUAAUCCCUGCAAUCUUGGCAAUGGCGUACCACUCGUUAGUCGGUUCAAGAGGACCAGUGAGAAGAGCGGAUUCAGGAAUCGGUUGAGGAGCGAAUUUGGGGUAAAUGCAAGAUGAGCCGAGGAAGAGGAGUUUCUUCACACCGUGCGUAUAAGCAGAGUGGAUCACAUUGGUCUGGAUUUGGAGAUUGACACUAAUGAAAUCAGCUGGGUAUGUGUUGUUGGCAUGAAUCCCACCGACUUUAGCUGCAGCUAGGAUCACAUAAACUGGCUUCUCUGUAGCAAAGAAGGAUUCAACAUCGGAUUGACUGGUGAGAUCAAGCUCGGAAUGGGUUCUAAGGACGAGAUUUGUGAAACCCUGAUCCUGGAGCUUGCGGACGAUGGCGGAUCCAACCAAUCCCCUGUGUCCAGCGACAAAGAUCUUAGCUGAUUUCUCCGACAUGAACGAACCCGAUUUCAUUUCUGAACAAAAUUACCAGAAAAAUUACAGACCUGAGGGUUUCAAGUUUCUCCACGAACAUUCAAAUUCACAAUUCCACAGGAUUUUCGUUAAUACUACACAUGAAACAUUAAAUCUAAUCUAGAUAAAUUAUAGAGAGAUGAAAUUUAAAAAUUGACGUACCGGAACCUGUGGUGGCCGCCAUUGUCGAGAUGGUAAGAGAAGAUGAGGGAUCGAGAAAUGGGGAUUUUGACUUAUAGCUAAGCAGUUUUCGAAGUCAAUGAGCAAAAACGUAGAUUUGUUGGCAAAGUUUAUAUAUUCCUCGGAUAUUGUGAGGUGGAGGAGAUCUGUAUAUCCGCCGGCGAUAUGAAUCGGUGUCGGCCACUUUUUUUUUUUCUUAAUCAGAGUUACCCAUCAGAAUAUUCAAUCCUCGCCCAUGGGCCUAAUAUAUUUUAUCUCGGUCUCGGCCCAUUUUGCUUACUUAUCCGUCGGUACGGUAUUGCAAUGUUAACUGUUCCGGUUCGAAGCUAAUAAUUUGAUUCAAUAAAACGAGUGAAAACGGUUUCAGGUAAUCCAGUACCGCACCAAAGAAGAGAAGUCAAAUCGACCAGUAGCGACUAAUUUGAUAAGUUUGAGUAAUAAUGUUGUCAAAUAUAUAUUUGAUGUAUUCUGCAAGAGCUUGUUAAAUCUGUUAUUCUCUUUUUGUGUAUAUCAAUUGCCAUAAUAUUGAUUGUGCUUCUGAUUUCGAAAGUAACAACAUUUCACUUCCAUCACGUCUAAUCAAACAUAACGUGUUUGAUGAACAAAUUAACUCAAUAGUCAAUAGUAAUAGAGGGAGGAGAGAGAUUUAAUGGUGAUAGAUAAAAAAAAUCUAAGUUAAAUCAACUAGACCAAUGAUAGUAACUUAGUUAUUGUAGACAAAAACAAGUAAGAAAACAAACAAACAGAAGUCAAUGCCCGAACCAUACAAAAAGACAUUUGUGCAUGGUGCGUUCUUGACUCCCACUUUUCACCAAACUCAAAAAUAAAAAAAGCCAAAAAAAAAAAUGAACUAGAGAGAGAGAGAGAGAAAGAGAAAGAGAAACUCAGAAGAAUAAUGAUUUCUUACACCCUUUGCAGGCAUUGAAGACAAACACUUUUAAUGACUUUCGCUUCUCUGCUCAUUGAAGACCUUCUCAGAAAUCAGAUGGGGAAAUAGCUUUUAAUGACGUCUCACGCAGUUGAAGGACAAUUCAAGGUGGUCUUAAUAUGGUGGACAGUGGUAUUGAUGAGAUUAUUAACUGUCUCCAUUGACUCCAUGUUCAGUUUUGCCGGUUGCAAACCACUCACCAUUAUCUGAAACCCAACCGUUAUCAAUGAUCCUCCUCCCUUGCUGCUUCCGUCUGGUGAAAUGGCAAACCCCGACGGUAAUAUGGGAAUACAAGAUGUGUCUUGACCGCUCAUUGCUAUGUUCAAUGCUGGUAGAUCCACUGGAGUGUAGAUCACAAGCGCUGCACUUGAUGAGUCUAUGCAGCUUUCUUGCAGGAUCAGCAUGUUGUUUUGUGAUGACGAUACAUUGAAUCCCUGAUGAAAACAAAGGAACCAAAUUUUCCAAUCAUUAAAAUCAAGAAUCCAAAUAUAUGUAUAGUGUCCACUGGAGUAGGCUUACACGAAGAACCGAUAUGCAGUUUCCAGGAUUUGAUCCGUUUGCGAUAUUAGCAACUUCUUGAACAGGGUUUCCAUUUGAAAGAACGUCCCACUAUAAAACCGAAACAGGGAUAAACCGGAGAAAAUAUCACGCGAUUAAACAGUCUUAAAACACCAAACGAUUCUUGUUUCUAUUGUUAUGUUAAAUCUGUGUGGUACCUGAGGCCGAGUUCUUUCAUCUUUGAGGAAAUUGAAGACGUUUUGUGGAGAAUUUGGGAGCCAGAAACUGGUGGCUGCACAUAGAACCAUCCCAUUUGGUUCAUGUAGGCUCUUGUGCGAAGUCACACGGAUUGCAAAUUCAUCCAGUCCAGAGACAACCGUUGAGCGAGUGUUGUUAGAUGUGCCAACACUCAAGCAGAAGUUGCUUACCAUUCUGUGAGCAAGUCUCAUUAUACUUCUCUUCCCUUCUGGCGAUGGAAUCACUGAAUUGAUUUCAAAUGGGUCACUUAAGGUUUGAUUAACUGAUCAACUAAGAUUUCUAAAAAAUGUCUUUAAUUACCUCCACCAAGAUCAAGGGAUGAUGUUGCCGGUUCCGUGAAUCUCUCACACAUUCUUUGGAGAGUAGAGAUCCAACGUUCCGCUCCAAAAGCUAAUCCUUUAUGAACACUGUCUUUAAAUAUCUCAUGAAUCGGUUCUUGCUCCUCGAAUUCAACAUGUUCCACCCAAGUAACCUGUUGUUGUUUAUGUAAACGAUUCAAUAACAGGAUUUGAGAUGCUAAAAGAAUGAAACAAACAGGAAGUUCACCUACCUUUGAAUAGCCAUUGGACAUAUCUUGAAUCAGGCAACCAGAAGGAAAUCUAUAUGACCGAGAUUGAGAUACAAACUGAGGAAACUCGUAAGAGACAUUUGCAAUAGCCCAAGUUCCAUGUUCAAUUUGCUGACAAUAUCUUAGCACACAGAACUCACGCGUAGCUACCAUUGGCGAAAGCACUUGAAGCUCUUCAAUCAUCUAAAACAAGCCAAAGCAAAGUUAAUCAAAAGUUUCAUACGCAGAAAAGAAGAUCAUCUCUUUCACUAAGUAAUGUUCUUUUACCAAAUGUAAUGCAUCUCCAUGGUUUCCACGAAAUCCUGAUGAAAUCACUGCAAGGGUUUUAGAUGCUGCAACGAUUGUGGGGAAAAAGUCUGCUGAUUUAACCUGCAUAUUAAUGAAAAAUUACAUGAGACUAAUAAGAAAACGAAUGUGAACAAAUAAAAACUUCGAAAUGGGUUACGACUUACAGAAUCCAUGAGCAUGUCCACAAGUGUCAAAGCAUUAGUGAAAACAACACCAGAAGAUCUAGAUGCUUCCAUUCGGAGUUCAUUCUUCUUUCCACCAUUACUACUUGAUCUUGGAAAAAGAUUCUCAUAGCUUUCAAGAUUGAGAACCUCUCUGCAACCUUCUGUGGUGAUCCAUAGAGGCUCAUUAGUUUGAAGAAGCCUAAGCAAUUCUUCCAUCGCGGUCACAGCAAUGUUGGUCAUAAGAGACUUAUCCAUCUCUGACAAAACCAAGUUUGGUUGAGAUGGCAAACUAGGAAGAGCCAUUGAAGAACAACUUCCUGGAAGAAGAUCAAAAUCUAGUGAAGGACCGCUAUGGAAUAACUCUAAUGGCGAAACAUGCAUCGGAUUUAGUAAUGGUGGAAGAUGAGAGAUGGGUCUUCCUAUGAAUUUAGCAGCAAUACUGGAAACCCUUUCGAGCUGCAAAAACAAACAUCAAAUGUUGAUGGAGGUUUAACCCUAAAAUCAAUCACAAUGCAUCAAAAAAAUGUCUCAGAAAAACCAAAACCUCAUCUCUAAGCUGUGCAUUUUCGAUGCGAAGCUUUUGUUCAUCAAAGUAAGAGUCUUCGUUGACAGGAGAAUCACCACAGUUGGGGCAAAUAGCAUGUUUAAUAGCUUCUCUAAUAGCAAUGUUUUCGCAACGAAUCUUAUCAUUCUCUUCUUUCAGUGCACAAUUAUCAGCUCUCUCGUGUUGUGCCUGCAGAACAACAACAAAGAAGCAAAAAUUAGAGACUUUUGAUGGAGACAGAACAAGAAAGAGAGAAACUUUAGCAGAAAACAAACCUUCUUUUGAGUUCUUCUGUUUUGAAACCAGAACUUGAUCUGUCUUGGAGCUAAACCCAACUCUCUACUAAGCUGAUUCCUCUGUUUCUCAUCUGGAUGCUGACACUCGUUGAAAGUACUAGAAACAAAGACCCAAAAUCAUCAGAGAAGAGAAACAAACCAAAAAAAAAAACAAAGACAACAUUGAGGAAAAAGAGCUAAUACGAUUCGAGCCGUUGGAUCUGGUGAGGUGUGUGGCGGUGAAACCGCUUCUUCUUCUUGUUCUUCUUAUCCGUUUCAGAGCCGUCGUGAAUUUGGCUGUCACCGAAAAACUCCAUGUUCAUCAAAAGUAAUGUGUAGAGUAGACGAACAAAACAGUGUCUCGUCCUUAAAACCAAACUUACUAACUCUGGACCAUCACACAACUGUAACCAUUAACGCCAACCUAGUAGAAGAAGAAGAAAAAAGUUUUGUUCUUCCCUAAAUGAAAAAAAAAAAAGAUGUCUAAAAAGAAGAGAGAAGAAACGAAACGGAAGAGAAUCUGAGAGAAUAUGUUUAAGGGGGAGGAGAAAAGGCUAGAUUUGGUAUACGAUAAUCUCAUAAAAUCCCCAAAUUUGAAAUCCGUAAUUAUGGUCCUUGCUCGUUUCUAAACUCUAGAGAGAAUUGGUAAAGAUGGGAAGAGAGAGAGAGAGAGAAAGGAGAGUAAUUGAUCUAUGGACCUUUCAUUUCAUCUCGAGCCUAUCAUAAGCCGCCAUUAGUGCUAUUUUCUCUUCUCUCCCACCUUUCGCUCCUUUAACAUUCAUUACAGAUUCCAAAACCACUCUCUCUCUCUCUCUCUCUCUUCUUACCUGUCUCCCUUGAGAAAUUGCGUAACUGAUACUGAUGGGUUUUUAAUGGCGUUUGACAGAGGUAGAAGAGAGAGAGGUUAUGGGUUUUUAAUUCUCUUGCUUCUUUCUCCAUUACUGCCAAUGCCAAGUACUACUUCCUCUCUCUCCCCGAGGGAAACACAGACUGAUGAUAGCUCCGGAAAGAUUUUAUAGUUCCGGUUAUGUUUAAAUCAACUGAGGUUUUUAAAUACCCCGGUGGUGGUUACUUUUGUUGAUCCACGAGUGAGCCUUUUUUUUUUAUCAACGUCGUCAUCGUGUAAUGACAAAAAUUGACUUUUCUUUUGGGGUUUUGCUGACUUCAGCUUCUUCUUUUCCUUUAUUAGUAUAAUCAGUGUUUAGGGAAUUUAUUUACUAAAAAGCACUAGUAUUAUUAAAUCCUUUUUAUGACACAAAAACUGGUUAUGUUCUUUUAUGCUAUCACAUAAACUCAAUUAUACUAGGCAAAGUGUACAAUUUGGGUCAUUCAUUCUCGCAAAUAAUUAUUUUUCUUCAGCAUAAGAUGAUAUAGUACUAGUCUUUUUGUUUGCUAGUUAAUGCGUGAAGUCGUACUAGCUUUUUUUUUUUUUUUUUUAAUUAUAAAUGGUGGUAAUAGUUAGUAUGUACUAUGAACUACCAUAUUCAUCGUAUCUCGUUCACUUAGGAACAUCAAACACACCUUAUGUGUUACUUUAUCCAAUUAAUGACUACCCUGAUUAUAAAUUUUUAUAUACACUAUGAUUAGAACAACACCUUGCAAAAUGUUUUCAGACAUGAUUUUAACGUGCGACAGUAGCCGUAUCUUCUCAUCUAAUGCUCUUGUUUGAGCUGGAAUGAAAUUAACUGCACAUAUUGAUUUCUCAAAAAUCUGCAGCUGCCAUGUUAAUCUGUAAUAGAUCCCUUAAAGCUUUUAAACCUCUCUUAAAUAUAUGUACCCUCUUUAGUACUCUUUUAAGAUACAAAACCAACAUCUCUACUUCUACAGUCAAAUAGUUAGCAGAGUCUAUGAAUCCUUAUUAAAGCGUAAACUCUAGUGAUGAUGGACUUACAUCUCCUUUCUCCAAGCGAAUGGCCGAAACUAACUGAUCAGCCAGAAGAAAGAAAGGAUCUUCCUUUUUUCAUUCGCUCCAGUCCGUUUGUUGAUCCUCUCUCCGCUUACGUUUAUUUGUUGUUGAUGCCUCGUACCAAUCUCCUACUCUCAAGGCAUUGGACAUUGACAUCACUGCUUCUUCAAUUGCUUCUCUCUCCUCUGGAUGUAGAUCCUCUAAUGAUAACGUUGAGGCCACCUCGUCGAAUUGUAGUAUAGCAGCUUGCUAAAAAACAAACAACGAUGGCAUAAGGCGCAAGUUCAUAGUGAUUACGCAUAAAUCAACCAAGAAGAAGAUGCAUUUACCACGUUCAUUAUAUCAGCUUCAAGACUUGUAUCUCUGUGAAGCUUUGGGACACUGAUGCUAUUGAACCACUGCAUAUAUUCACUUUCAUCACCGUUUCCCCCUUCAUUCUCCACAAUGUUUUCCCUUCGUCUCAUCCAUUCUUCGUCUGCUGUGUUCAUAUCUUCCACUAAGUCUUCGUCAUGGUUCUUUUCGUUUUUUCUGGGAGGAACUUCUCCGGGGAUAACUUGGCACAGACCGAAUUGCUUCAUGCAUCGAUCUGGGAAGUGCCAUUCUACUACUUUUGGACCAAUCAAUUUUGUUCUGGACCUUCCAAGUAGUAGAUUAUCUUUGAAACUUUGUGGCACAAUGUCAAGAUCUCCUUCAAAGGGGCACCAACUCACCUAAAAGAGAUUUCAGUGGUAACAAAAUAUCAAAAUGAUUUCAAAGCAAAGAAAUGUCUAAGAAAACAAUGAUUUAACUCUUACAUUUGAUGGAUCCAGAUCAUCAAGCGCCUUGCGAUACUUAAACAAGUCAUUCUUUGAUCGACUUUGCUGCCUUCCUUUCCACAAAAGUGCCAGUGGAAAUUGACGGGUGGUUCUCUUUGGCCGAUCAAUAUUCAGAUGGAAGUAACUCCAGCACUGAAGAUGGUAACACACUUGGCUAAGAACUUCUUGGGAAAAAGUAACAAAAGAGAAGAUGAUGCUAUUAAGAUUUAAAAAGAGAACGCCAGACAAAUGAAAACAAACCUGUAAGAGUGUCAAGCAACCACCAAUGAUACUCUGAGACCGUUGAGAGGCAUUACCAAUUUGUCUAUAUAAGAAAGCUAGCGCAGCAGCACCCCAAGCGUAUUCUCCAGCUUUCUCAAAGUCCUCAAAGAGAAUAAGGUAAUCAACAGAGAUCUUACUGGGAUCUGUAGUUGCAAAAAUGGUACUCCCAAUAAGGUAUAUAAGAAAAGCACGACUGUGAUACUCAAUUUCUUUCGCCGUAGCUCCCUUUGGACACUCUGCAAAAUUCUCCUUCAACCAUUUCGCAGUGACUCGAUUACCGCUCAGUUCACCUUUUGGCAGUAUCCCCAAAAGUCUGAGGCAUACUUGAGAAGGGUCCUCAUCUUUUUCUUUAACACCAACCACAGGUUUGCCAUCAACAGCAAGACCAAGAAUCAAUGAUACCUCAUCGAGAGUGAUAGUCAUUUCGCCACAAGGGAAGUGAAACGUGUUGGUUUCUCUCCGCCAUCUCUCGACAAGGGCAGAGAUAAGCGAAUUGUUCAAACUAAUCGAUCCUAUCAGACGAAACCAACCAAAACCAGCUUUGUCCACCAAUUCUAUCUGCUCCUUAGUGAGCUUCCAGUGAUGAAGCAAUGACGUUCGUUCCUGGCAUCUAAGCACACCUCUCUCCUGAAAAGACAAACAAAACACUUUUCACAAAUUGUUGUUCUAUUAGGACGAAGAUAAACGCAGAUGGGGAUUGAUUGGAACUACCUGUCCGGUCAAAAUAGCAGAGGAGACGUGCUUAUCUUGCUCGUAAAGGACCGGCAUUAUCAAUCAAUGCGUGGUUUUAUCUGAUUCAUAAGUGAUUAAUGGCACUUGAAAUUAGGGUUUCUGUGUGAAACGCGAUCAAUCCAACACAAUGAUUCCAUAAAGGGGUUCAAUUCUUCUAAACUUUUACAGUAAGGCAAAAAAUUUCGGGUUCCUCUACUCUAAAACAUAUAGAAGAAUCUAUUAACGAUUAUCCUAGGUGAAAUUUCAACGAGCGGUGAUGCAUUACGAUAGAAAGGAGAACAAUUUUAGGGUUCAUCAAUCUCUUAACUUUGAAACUGGCACAAAGCAGAACUACCAGUGGAACGAAGAACAUAUGUAUAUAAUCAACAAAAACGAAAGCUUACGAAUUUGGAAACUAUAACAGAGGAGGGGAGAUCGAAGAAGGUUGCUUCGGAGAAAUCUGAGAGACUGUAUUGAUAACGCGGCGCAGAUGGUGAACAAUCCGGUUUCGGUUAAAAAGGAAAGAUAAUUAACUUUUCAUUUUAACUGACAGUUUUUAAUUUUUGAAUUUGAUUAAAUGAUAAAUUUUGGGUAUUUUUUUAUGAUGAAAAUUCACAUUACAAUUUCUAUAAAAUAACUGGUAAUCUGGUAGGACAUACAAAAUUUACAUCAUCUUGUUAUAACUUUUUGAAACGAAGCUCUGGCUAAAAACAAAAACCGAACCAGUGCUGAAUCUGUUGAUCUUGUUGUUCUCUGAAAGAAUCUUCAUCAUCUCCUCUAGAUUCUGUGUUAUUCCAGAAUUUCCAGUACUUUCUAUGUUGCUUUAAGCUUUAAGCUCCAAGUUAAACCUUGUCUUACCAGCAACCUUCAAUCACCAAGAGCAUAUAUAUCUCUCAGAACCCGCACCGUUUGCUUUUUGCAUAGAUCAUUUUUAUUAUUAUCAAUACCGGAAAAUGGAAAAAAAAUUAUACUUUAUUGAACAAAUAUACUAUUACAUUAACAUACAAAGAUCUCUCUCAUGUAAACUGAUUCAAAACCAAUUUGAUAAGUUUUUCUUCUUUCUAUCUCAUACACAACAGAGAUCAGAUCAUCGAAACCAUUGGAUAAAUUCUAUAGCCAUACCAUAAUCUUGCAGGUAGCCAUUGGGAACCACUGAUUUCUUUUUUUUGGCUCUAUAAGUUUUACACAUCUUUAUCAUCGAUUGCUGGUAAACUUGGUUUGAAGCAUUUUGAGCAUCUUCAGACUACGAAGCUUCAACGAGAGGAAGUUGAUAUUCAUCUGGUUUCAAUGCCAAAGCGAAAUCAGGAAGUGUUGGUGCUGUCUCCAUGAUUCUGUUAAUCAGAGAGCAUUACCAGAUUAAUAUAAAAAGCCUGACCAUUUUAUGCUUUUGCAACAGAAAGUAAGACAGAUUUAUACUCACUUUUCAUAAGAGUAUAGAUCACGGUUUAUCCUGACUUUACUCGAAGUAUCUUUCGGGAUUUUCUCGGUUAGAUACUUCAUUGUUCCAAUAAGUGGCGGUGUUCUGAGAACAGAUAAACAGAUCUUCUAAACAACCACUAACCUGUCACCCCAUGAACUAAAGAUAAAACUAAUUAAAAAGAGAGAGAAAUUACCUUGAAGUAGGUGAAGAGAUGUUGAAUGCUUCGGAUGCUUUCUUACUUUCUUUGAAACAUUCAUCUGCAGCUUGUAAAGCUGCAACUGCCAUGCCAUGUGAUUUCUCUGUGUUUCCUUCAUCAAGAAUCAAACCGUGAUAGUAGUAAGCCGCAGCCUGAUCCAAAAGAAUCCAGAAGAUGGAAGUAGACAUUAGACAAAUGGACCUUAAUUGCCUAUUCUGGCAAAAGCCUCAUGGUUCUCAGAAUGUAUUGAUAUUGAUCAUAUAAGCAAAACCCGAAGUUUUGUCUCUUAUAAAGACAGAGACAAAGACUUUAUAAGGAAGGGCCAUAGCUCAGGACAAUAACUGAAAAGGACCAGACAAGUUUACAUAUGAAAGGAGUAAGAGAGCACGAAAAAAAGAAAGAAAGAAUAAAACAGUACCUUAGCUUCAACAUACUUCCACUUAACAAAGAGUCCAUGCUUUUCUCCCCAGCCGUUCGCUAAUGGAAGAUUCAUUAGAUUAUCUUGUGCCUGUUUCAGCGCACAACAUCAAGGAAAAGGAAGCAUCAACAAAAAGUUUCAGAUGUUUCCAGUGACAAGUGGGGGCAGUUAAUAGACAAUGCCUCAAUGACCAAAAAGUUGGAUAAGACUAAGGAUGUUUACUUGCUGCCAAUAUUUCACCAUUUCACAUGAAAGUCUUCGUUUUACUGCGAGAGUGGCCUUCGAGCUAUCAAUCGCCAUGCCAAGUUGGAUAUCAACACCCUAUAGUCAGCAACAUGCAAGAUGUCAGAUCAUCAAUGAGAGAAAGAAACCACAUGAGCUACAGUUAUAUGCAAUAGGGUAGCUUCCUUUAAAAAAGAGGUACUACCUGGCCAAGUGCCUGCAAGCAAAGGGCCCGUAGAACUCCUUCCCCUAAAUCAACCGGUAAAAUUCUCCUGCAAAGAAACGAAAUACAAGGACAAGGAUUGUGCCAUUAGGCUCAACUGAGAAUUACCCAAAAUGUAGAGUAAAUGACAUUGGAAACUUUUUCAUCUACCAACCUUUGUUCAGCAGAAAACUGAGGGAGUACAUGCUUAACAGCACAAUCAAGAUAUCCAGCUGCUUUUAAGAAGAUAUCAAUCGAAGCUCGUCUGUUUUCUAUAAUUAAAAAGAACAAUCACUGUUAAGUCUGGGGAACGUAACCAUCACAUUUCAUUAACCACUUAAGAAUGAAACAUCAUCAAAUAAAAAAAAACACCCUAAGACAAAACAUAACAGAAUGUAUGAAAAUCCCCCUCAGGCAACUGAAGAAUGAAGAUAGAUAAAAAAACUCUCAGAGAAGCCUAACCUUCUGAAACUUUUGGAUGGUUGUGACCAUCACUAGAACCUCUAGGAAGAAGCAGUAAAUUGGCUUGAGACAUUUGUAGCAUUGCCAUUAGAUGCAAAACGGAUAAAACUUCAUACCAAACGUUUGACAUCUCUGUUUCCUGGUUAGAAGUAAAUAUGUAAGAGUCUGUUACAUUAUAGUGACACUUGAAGACAAACUGCUUUGCUAAUUACCGCACCUCUUCCUCAUCUUCCUGAUUUACCCAAUUAAAUGGUACUUUAAACUGUAGAUGGCUACCUGAAGAACAUCACAAAUACAGCAGGGUCAGAAUAAAUCUCUGAAGCCAAACAGAUCUAUUUAUUAUAAACCCAUAACAGUACAUUACCAUCUUUACUUAAUCCCAAGAGAACAGGUAGAUAAUCUACCAAAGCUUGAUGGAGAUCCGAGAGCGUUGAACCUCCAGCCAAAAAAACAAGAUUCAUGAAGAAUUCUAAAUGGUAAACAGUAGAAAGCAGGCAAAGAAUAGAAAACACACAAAGAUCUUCACAAACAUAUAUAUAAAUACCAUGUUGUGUUUUUCUCCUAGUUCUUGUUAUUGUAGGUCCUUCUUGAUUAGCCAUCACUACUAUACGCGUUCUUAAAGCUGUCAAGCGUUCCACUAGAGCCUUGGGUAACUGAUCACCAAGGGACUGCAAAAAAUCCACAGCUCUGGGUAUCCUUAAACCAGGUACAUAUACUGAAACCUCACCGAUGCUUGUUGGCUUUCUUCUGUUGCCACCAGUUUCUUUCGGCGUUGAUGCAAAGCAUCCCAUUUUUAACAGAGCUUAAGAAAAUCUACAAACCCCAAAAGACAACAAAUCUACAGCAUAAGUGGCAAAUCUUGAUAAAGGUUUCACAAGGGAUCUUGUGGGAAACAAUCUGUGACUAUGAAAUGAUCAGGCAAGUUGGAAGAAGAGAGGAGAAUGAUUCCACAUUAAAAGACUUGCAAUAAGGAGAGUUGAUAAAAUUAAUGUCCAACCGCAAAAAACAGGUCAAGUCUUUCCUCCUCCACUAGAUUCAUAAGGAUAAAGUAAAAACCCAGCUCACGAGCCAUCUGCCAUUACUAAACCAUCUUCAAAAAUUCAACGUGACUAUCUAAUCUACACGAAUCUUCAAAACAAUCUAACUUUAAGACCAAGCUCCAAGCAGAAACAAACAAGUAAAUGACACCGUUUGAUAAACAAGUAAGAGGUUGUUGAUUGACACUUAUCAGAUUUAUUGGCUAUAAGCUAUAUAUAACUCGACUGGUUUCUGCAAGAAACAGGGAAAAAAAGAGACUAAACUGGAAGAAAACAAAUGAAGCAUUUUUGAGUCACGGAGAAAGCAUGAAACUUUGCAAAUCGUCAUAAAAUUUUCUCCACAAUGAAACGUUAUACCGAAUACAGGAUUAAAAAAAACGAGGAAUUUACAAAGGCUGCAAAGCAACUAGGCUUAAAAAGGGAAGAUUUUGAGUAAAGGCUCACCAAGAAUUAUGCAAAAAUGUAAGGAGGAGUAAUGGAAAGGGAUGCUUUAACUUGCCCAAACCAAAAUAUAUAAAUUUAUAUCCGUCAAAAACAAAAAAAAAGGUAAAACCUUAAGCAACAUUUUCCCCAACAAAAGAAAGAAGAAAAACACUAGACUACCACCAAAUCUGGACGAGCUAAAACUCGAAUCAAGUCAGCAACUAAAAUCUUCAGCAUUGAAUCCUUCAGCAUUGUAUCGGUUACGAAGGACAACGGAUUCAAUUGACAAUGAAUCUGGAAGGGAAAAAAAAAAAAAAAGACUUUAUAACAAGUUGAUUCUUACCAAAGAGGCAAAGAUAUUCAAAACCGGCUAGCUUAACACAUAUGAUUAGUUUUCAGAAUCGAAUCAGUUUGGCUGCUCCCCAUUGAAGAAGUUGAAGAGAAUGGUUCUUUAAAGGAAUUGAUACAAACAGAGAAGAAAGAUGAAGACAAGAUAACCAAAUUUUUUACCAGGGAUUAAUUUUCAACGCGAGUAGAAAAAAUAAAGCUUUAGGAUACUACUACUUCACUAGUCAGUAGUACAGCUAACUUACAAAAAAUAAAAUAAAAAAUAAAAUAAAAAAUAGUAAGAAAAACAAUCAUUGUUUCUAUAUAUAUUACUAACAUUUUUCCAGAAUUUUUUAUAUUAAAUUCAUGGUAUCUGAAAGAUCAUUUCAUAUGCUAUGAAAACAUUAAGCUACACCUUUACUACUGGUUCUUGAAUCUAAAUCUUUUUAUUGUUUGAGACAUUUUACAAUCAUUAGACAAUCAUGAGUUAGUUAACCAGAUGCUAACCAUAUUAUAUGAAUUAUUAUGCAACAAAUUAAUUCGUUUCGUUAGUAGCUGAUUUCCCUGUGGUGUUUAGACUAAAACUAAUUAAGUACAACUUAUACCAUAUCUUAAACUUAAAGCAAGCUUUUAUCAUUAAUCUUAAUACAUAUUUACAUACUAAAAGUGAUCUUAUCCUUUCUAUGAAAAUAGUGCCUAGUGGGGAUGACCACUGUUUUAAUGAUAUAAAAGUUUAGACUUAUUGGCACCAUUAGCUGUCCAUCGACCUCAUUCUAAUUAAUGAUUUAUAUAUGGAUAUAUAAUAGAUUUGCUCUCAAAUACAGCUUUUAUUCUGUUUGUUACAUUACAAUAUAUAUAUUGGUACUAUCUCAAAUUCGAUUCUGUUGGCAUCGAUAUGUUCAAAGCUAUUUUUAUGUUAUAAUACUUACGUUUUUUAACAUUAUUACUUAUAGAUAUUUUGAGCUCACAUCAAAUAAUACAGCUGAAUGUCUCAUGAUCAUAAAAAUUGUUUAACACAAGCAUCUUUUCUUAAUCAUAGAAUGAACAGAGAAUAUAUUAUACAUACAUCAGCCUGCAUUUUGACGUUUUCUUAGCAUUAUUCAUUGUAUUCCUGAAUUUUACGCAAAUCAUUCAUUUAAACGUGCAAUUUAACUAUUCAUGCAUUGAAGCACUAUAAAUGCAGCUUAAACACACACACACACACACAAAUAUCUUUUGAAAAAAAAAACGUCGCGGUUAACUUCAUAGAUAUAAAUAUUGUCAAAUACGGGACAUAUGACUCGUAUUGUAAGCAGAUUGCGAGACCUAUUAAACCAGAAAAAGACAAUCGUCAUAAAUAAAUAAAAGAUCUAAAGAUUUGUGUUGAUGUUACAAAUAGAAUAAUAAUUAUUAGAUGACGGACAAAAAAAUCGUCACCGGCCUAAAUUAACGUUACAAGGUGCAUAAGAACUCCACGUCCGUUCACACUUGUUUGUCUAUGUCCCCAUAACUCAAGUCUAAAGGUCCCAUGCCAUGACCUUGGCUCGAGGCAAAGCUGAUAUUACAAGGCAAAUGCCGGUGGUGUCGUAUUCCACGUGGCGGCCACGUUGGGCACGUGACGUUACCGUUUUGGGGCGGUCUCUCUCUCUCUCGACACAAAAAUACUAAACAAAUUAAAUUAUUGUGUUGUAGGGACGACAUGACAGGUGUCGAAGGCUGGAAACGUCGUGGCUGUCUUUCACGGUCACCGUCGGAACAGUCGGAAAAAGCUUUUAUUAAGGCUGGCAAGCUGGUUGGUGGCGACACGUGUCCCUCAAUCAUUCCGUUAUGUUGAAGAUAUCUUCUGCUAAUUUCUCUUUUUCGUUUUCGUUUAGGACUCUUUCCUUUUAUAGAACAGUCUUAUUAUUUUAUUAUAAACCAAACAAACAUCAUAAAUUAGAGAACUAAAAUCAGUGUUGUUAUUAUUGUUAUGUAGAAGUAGAACUAUGUUACUUACCUAAUCAAUUUGUAACAUGAAAAGCUGUUACAUAUAUAUAUUUGAUAAAACAUCUUGGUGGAUCUUUUAUUUGUGAAUGAUGAAUUGAUGAAAGGUGAACCUAGCUCGCUCGUUUUGAAAGCUAAAAAUAUACUAAACGUAUAUGUGAAAGCUACAAAUCAUACACAAAGGUCAUAUUGAGUGAAAAAGUCAAGACAAUACGCCGGAUUACACGGCGACGUUCACUAAAAGAUUAAAGAUGCUAUACGUCGUCAUAUCAUCUCCCAAACAGGCAAACAUAUAUAUAUAUAUAUAUAUAUAUGUAGACAAAAAAAGAAAAAAAAAACAUAUAUAUAAUUAUAUAUACCUGUGUCCGGUUAGAAGUUAGUACGUGGCCAUGUAUGACCAGAGCAUCUGCGGAUAUUUUACGGGAAUUGAAUAUGUUGGGAAUCUGGAUUUUGAUGCAUGCUGAGAUGGCUGAUCUGUUUUGUCGGCUCUAGCAUAAAUUCGUCGUCACUUCCACCAGAACCGUCCGGAGUUAUUGUUCAAUUUUAGGAGAAAGGGUUCGACCACCGUCGGUUAAAUUCUUAAAUCUUAUUACGGACAUGCAUGAGAUUUCUUUUAUGCAUACGUUGAGAUGGUCGAUACAUUCUAUCUAGCACCAAUUAUCAAGAUCAUACAGUUUAGGAUUUUGAUUGAAAGGCUCGGGGAUCAUCAAGAUCCGGUUUCUCAUUAACCAGUUUGUUUGAUAGACCUAUACCGGUUUAGUGUAAUCAGGAUACCGUUUGCUUGUGUGUAGUGAGUGGUAUUUGAAGAAAUGUGUGUUUAGUUGAGAUAGAUCGUAUUUGACUUCCUUCCCAACAAACUCUACCUAUUUUCCUACUAAACUUCACCAGUAAUUAAGUUUUGGCUUUGUUCCUAGAUAGAUACACACGUGCAAGUGAGUUCUAAAAACAGAUUGUUUUAUAGCUUACCUAGGAUUGAAUUGAUUAGUUGAUUGGAUUAUAAGCUAUAUCUCCCAAUCAAACGUUACAAAGAUUCCAUGAAAUGUUUUGUAAGCAAUCCCAAGCAAAACUAAAGUACAACAUCUAUCACCCUUUUCAGGUUUUUAACUUUAUUCUGUCAUUUUAACAUCUUUCAUAUAUUUUUUCUUUCUUGUUAAUUUUUUUUUUUUCAAAGCUUUAUGGCUAUGUUAGAAAUGUGAAUGUAAAUAAACAUAUUUGUUAAAAAUAGAAGCCCAUAAGUGCCAAAUUUUAUUGAUAUAAAAUUUAGUAAGUUUGUUGAAGGUUUGAUCAGAGAGAGUACAAAAGCUAACCGUCGUAGACAAGACAAGAGAGAAAGUUAGUGAUGUACUUGGAGACCAAUGUUUGAGUAAAUAAGAUGUCAAAUUCAUUUUUAUGAUCAUCAAGUACAAAGCCACUAAAUAUAUCAAGCAGUUAACCAGUUAAUUUAAUAAAGACACAGAGUCGCUUUAGGGUUUCCACGUUGGUCCGAAUUAAGGAAAAGAAACAUAUUGGUUAGGUCUGAAAGGUUAACAAAACAUACAUAUCCAACGAUACAAUUUAAUUAUUUAAUUUCUACUUAUACGUGACCUGCAAUUAAAUGAUCACAGGUCCACAACAUCUUUACCAAACUCCCUCCUUCUCCUCUCUAGUUUUUUUUUUGCUUUUAAAAAUUGUAAUGAUAUUUUCAAAGUUCUAAAAGCAUUUUUAAUAUAUAACUUGUGAUAUGAUAUAUAGUCGAAUAUUAGUUAUACGAAAAGGUAAUACAGUUGAAAUUUAUUCAUAAAGUUCGAUCCACGAAUCCUGGAAUAACUACCGUUACAUUCUCUUGUAUAUUAUUGGACCAACGUGUUCUCCUUAAUUACUUUUAGAGUUGAUUUAAAUUGGAAAAUAUUUCCAAAUGUAAUAUAUAUGCACAUGUAAAUACAAGAUUGUUAAUCAAGAUUAUGAUUUCUCUUUCUAACGCUGGUGUUUUCAUAUGGUAAAACACUAACACAUUUAAGUUUUUUUCAUCCUAAAAUAAAAUAUCGUUGUAGCGUUAAUGAUUUUCACAAAAAUCAUACGUACUAAUAUGUAACAACUAUAUCAAUACAAUAUCAUAAUAACCAGUUAAUAACAUAUAUAUAUAUAUAUAUAUAUAUAUAUAAUUAUAUAAAAAUGCAACCAUAGUUUUUAAUGUUUGCAAUCAUCUAACUGUAGAUUCUUGGAGUCAUAGACGAUUGUAGUCCCACCUUGAGUCAUAUUCUAGAAGUUGAUUACAUAUAAAGCAUGAAUAUAUCUGACUUUAAAAUGUGUAUAUGUAGCUUGCAGAAGAGUAUACGAACGUAGAUGAAGUAUUGGUGGCUGAAGUAGAGGGUUUAGGUUAGAAAAACAAAAAAUAUAAAUAUUUGAGUAGACGUUGAAAGUUUAACGAAAAAUCACCCCACCAAGCAAUCUCUCCCUUCCUGUGUAAUCUCCUUUUCUCUGUUUCAAUAUUCAUGAUCAACUAAUCAAUUAAUAAAACUCCCACAUAAACAGAAAUAAUAAUGUAAAUUAAGAAAAGAAAAUUAUAAUAUAUUUUUUUUAAUGUAGAUGGGGCAAAAAAGAAAAAAAAAAGUAGAUUACUUAAAAGGAGUGUGUUUGGUUAGGGAAGACGUUGGCAUCAAUCGCCGGUGAAAACCUCCCUCCAAACUCUCUCUCCCUCGCUCUCUAACGAAUCUUAUAAUAUUCAUUACUUUCAUUUCUUUAAAUUAUAUAUAUAUGUGUAUGUAUGGUGCUGUUGCUCUUCAGCUUUCUUCUUGUUCCUACAUACCCAUCUUCCCUUACCUACAUCAAACCUAGGGUUUCUUGUAUCAACAUAUAUUGAUUUAUAUAUAGGUUAUUGUGAUUAUAUUCACAGAAGAUAUAUCACAUAUAUAGGGAGAUCGGACGGCGAGGAUUUGAAGAAUGAUGUGCAGUCGAGGCCAUUGGAGACCUGCGGAAGAUGAGAAGCUUAGAGAACUCGUCGAACAGUUUGGCCCUCAUAAUUGGAACGCCAUAGCUCAGAAGCUCUCCGGUCGAUCUGGUAAGAAACUAAUAAACUAGCUAGGUCUAAUAUAUAUGUAAAUAAUAUAUAUGUUGGUUUGGUAUUCAGGUAAGAGUUGUAGAUUGAGAUGGUUUAAUCAAUUGGAUCCUAGAAUUAACCGAAACCCUUUCACGGAGGAAGAAGAAGAAAGGCUUCUAGCCUCUCAUCGGAUCCAUGGCAACAGAUGGUCCGUGAUCGCUAGAUUUUUCCCCGGUCGAACCGAUAACGCAGUUAAAAACCAUUGGCACGUCAUCAUGGCACGUCGUGGCCGAGAACGGUCCAAGCUUCGUCCACGUGGCCUUGGCCAUGAUGCCACGGCGGCUGCUACUGGGAUGAUCAUGGGUAAUUAUAACGACUACGAUAAGGAGACAAGAUUAGCAACCACGACCGCUCUCAAUUUUCCUUAUCAAUUCUCUCAUAUUAAUCAUUUUCAAGUCCUCAAAGAGUUCUUGACCGGAAAGAUCGGGUUCCCCAAUAGUACUACUCCUAUAAAAGAAGGUAAUAUACUAUACAUCUAUGCUAAUAGGAUGCACCAAUAUGUGUAGACAGUGUAAUAUACGUAUAUUUUGAGUAAAUACAUAUAUAGAGUAUAUAUAGAUUACAAACUCAUAACUAUUAGAUAACAAUGUUAUCAUACAUGUGCAAGUACUGAUGCAUUCGUAUAUAUAGAUAUACAACUUGAUAAAUAAAUAAAUAACACAUAAUACUUUUUUUUUAAAGGUUAUUAAAAAUAGAAUUCAUGGUUUUCUGUCAAACGACUAAAUUUAUUUUUCAUCAUAAAAUUGUAAAAAUAAUUUAAAUAUCUUGAAACGUUCAUGAUCAUUUUCAUGCAUGCAUGUACAUUUGCUUGUGGAUACGAUUACAUAACUGUAUAACCUCUAGAAACUAAGUUUUGGACAUGGAUUAUUUGGUCAGAUGCAAUAGACCAAACUAAACGACCAGUGGAGUUCUACAAUUUUCUCCAAGUAAACACGGAUUCGAAGAAACCCGAAGUGAUAGACAAUUCAAGAAAAGACGAAGACGAAGAUUUCCAUGAAAACAACCGAAUUCGUAACGAGAACUGUGUUCCCUUUUUCGACUUUUUGUCUGUUGGAAACUCUGCCUCCCAGGGUUUAUGUUAAUUAGUCCGUACCACAUGUACUAUAAGGUGGAUCAUAUGUUAAUUAGAUUGUAGAAACUACUGAUCUGUUGUUAGAGCUCUUGUUUGAGCAAAAUGUGAAAAAAUAUGAUAGCCCAACAUUUCCUUGUAUACCAAAUCUAAGAUUGUACCUUUAUUAGGUCUAAUUUCUCUAUAUAUAUUUGAAGGAUAUUUAAUCAGACUUAAAAAUAACUAACUAUUCGGUACAUUUUGGUUUACUUAAUUUACUUAUACUUAAAGAAAAUCGAUAAGAAAUUUAGCAAAAACUUAAUUUAUUUUUAAAAACUCAUUCAAGUUUAGAGGUUUGUAGUGAUACCAAACUUCACUGAAGUAAAACUCUAAACUGGCCUAGAUUCACUUUGGCUAUCGUCUAAAUUGCAAGAUCUGUAUGUACUGAGAGUCUGAGACAAGUACUCUGUCCUGAUCAAUCUAGAAAUAAUCGUAGUCGAAGGAUUGAAGACCAAAAUUUUAUAUUUUAUGGAAUUUGUAAUCGACGGGCAUAAUUUUUGUGUUGUUGCGGUCGUAUGUAAGAAAACAUUGAAGAUAUACAUAUAUACAUCACAUCACAGGUAAUUAACAGGAGAAAGUAUGUCACGAGUGCGGAAGUAUACCCUUUUAAAUAUUUGAUACGCUUAUAAUUUCAUGCAGACUAUUUUUACUCGUAUAUAACUUGCGAUGAUGACUUUCUUGGUAACUAGCUAGUAGAUAUGUCAAAAUAGAAACGAUAAACUUUUUAUAAAAAAAACUAAUAUGGUUUUAUGAGAGCCAUUUAACGUUUACAAAAAAGUCUAGUUUAGUUUCUUCAAAUGUGAAGAAUAAUAAUAAGUUAAUAACGGAAAGACGAAAUCGAGGGUUGGAGUAUGGAUAUGAUUAAGUUGGGAGUAGUUAUCAGCCACCAAGAAAUACAAUCCAGAGUAGCAUAAAAUCUACCUUUGUCUUAAGAGAAGAAGAAUAAAAUAGUUCGUUUUAUUUAGGUGGAGAUGAAGAACACACAUCUUGACACGACUUAUAACCAUACUUCUUGUUUCGAAAUAAAUAUAUAAUUUUUAAGCAUCGACUUUGUAUCUUCCAACUUGAAAAAAAGAAAUGAUGUCAUUAUGACUGCUAGGGUUUCCUCGUUGAGUUAGAUACGUAUGUCACCUUGAUAUUAUUUAAGACAACACGAAAGAAUAACCCAAAAAGAUAAGUAACUGUGUAUAUUAUACAUACAUACAUCUUUGAUUAUGGAGGAUAAUAAUACGAAACGUUGAUCAUUUGUAUAAAGAUGUUGAAUUAAUCAACUUUGGAUAAGAUUGAGACACCCACUAGAACAAGAAUAUAUAAAUUUCUGACUGAUAUGUGUAUAUUAACUCACAUAUAUAAAAUCACUCCUUGUGAAAAAUAAUGAAGCGAGUGGUUGAAUUAUAAUUUCAGCGGUGGCUCGUUGAUAAACUGUUCAUAGUUGGAAUUUAUCGGAUAUAGAUAUGAUUAAAGAUGAAAAUAACGAUAGACUAGCUUUACAGAGCACACGGAGUCAAUAAAGUGAGGAUCGAUGGAUAUAUAGAAAAGAUUAAUUAAGACCUGUUUUUACUUAAAAUUAUACUAUCAUCUUUCAAAAAUGAUCAGACGAAUGUUUGUGAAAAAAUUCAAAAUCAAUUAGGAGACCACUUCUUUCGUCGGCUUUUGAAUUAUGUAUGAGACAACUUCAUUCGUUGGCUUUGAAUUAACUAAGCUUGAGUUGUAAGAAAACAUUGAAUAUAUACAUAUAUACAUCACAUCACAGGUAAUUAACAAAGAGUAAAGUUACUUAAGGAAAGACCUGAUAUAGCACUUGUCGCUUUUUAUAAAUUUAUAGUAGUCUAGUCGAGUAUCAAUAUCGAUAAUUAAAAUUGUACAAAAAUCCAUAAAAUUUUAAAACUAGGCACAUGCAAAAACUAUUUUACCAAAUAUCCACGUCCUUACGAUCCACAUCCACAGAGAGAAGCAUAUACAAGAUACAAACCCAUCACUUCGUCUCAGAGAAAGUUGGCAGUUUUGAGCUUGAAUUCAUCCAAGAGAGUCUCAAUGCUCAUCACUUCGUCUCUUAGCCAAACAGUCACCUGAAAAAAAGACAAUGAUUAAGAAGAGGAUUGGUGCUCAAACAUAUAGUGGAAUAAGCAUAGCAUGACUCUAACCUGUCCCCUUCUAGCCUCUUCAUCACCCACGACCAAUAUGUAGUUGUACCGUGCAACUUGGGCUUCUUCCACCUACAUACAACCAGAACCAUCAUUCAUAAUGCAUAUAGCUUUCGCAGCCACCAAUCGAAAAUCACAUGAACAUAAUUCUCAAUUUUUUGUGCUAAGAGAACUUGUAACACUUACCUUCUCACUGAUGUUUCUAUCCGUUGUGUCAACAUCAUCAUAGUAGCCAGCUUGGUGAAUUUGAUCUCUCACCUGUAAAUUGAAUACAUAAGACGACUUUGCAAAGUAAGCUUGUAAAGAGUAGGGUCACGAAUGUAAAACCUUUUCUGCGUAGGAACGAUCAUCCUUUAACAAGGAGCAAACUAUGACCUGGCGCGGACUUAGCCAGAAGGGCCAUUUCCCUUUGUUCUGUUCCAACAAUAUGGCAAACAUUCGCUCAACAGAGCCCAACACCGCUCUAUGUAUCAGCACAGGUUUCUCCCUCUUCGUUUCAUCCUCAGCUAAGGAUGAAUAUUCCAGUUUGAAGCAAUCAGGAAGUUGAAAAUCAAGCUGACAUUAGGCAACAACAGAAACGACAUACUAAUAAAUAACAUACCAAGAGAAAAUACAGGGGGUAAAAAGAAAGAAGGAAACUAAAAAGAGUACUUUGGGAGCCUAACCUGUAAAGUAGCACACUGGAAAUUCCUUUUCAUUGCAUCAGACACAGUUAUGUCGACCUUUGGGCCAUGAAAUGCACCGUCUCCUUUGUUUACCUGCAGAGACCAUCACACUUUAGAAUGAAUGCAUACUCUGUAAGUAUAUAGAAGCAUGAUCAGUAAGUAGUACACAUACAAAAAACGGCUUUCCAAAAUCUUUAAGCGCUUUUUCAAGUGCUCCUUCAGCUCUGUCCCAUUUUUCCAAAUCUCCAAUGUACUUCUUUGGCCGCUGAAAUUGAAUAUAACAUGAAAAUAAUGAGAUGCAUGAUCCUAUCAGGCAAAGUGUAUCAGAUUUGGGAGAAUGAAAUCUGCAAAUAUCCUUACCGUUGAAAGCUUCAGCUCAUAAGUAAACCCAAGUAUUGUGUAAACAUAGUCAACAAAAUCCAAUAUUCCUUUCACUUCUUCUUCCACCUGAAAAAUAUACAGAAUACGUAUAAAUAAGAAACUGGGGAGGAUAAGGAACUCCCAACGUUCUUGGCUAAGUAAACAAAUAUCACAAACCUGCGUCUCUCUACAGAACACGUGUGCAUCAUCCUGAAAAUGAAAUAUGUGAAUGUCAAACAAAUAUGCAAACAUGUAAAGGAGCAAAGAGCAAGUUGACAAGUAAGCAAAGGAAGCGGUGAAUUUUUUCACUUCAGCACCAUGGCAAAUAGGCUCUAAUGUUACUGCCAGAGUGCAGGCACUUUUCCUGCUCUACUAGUACUAAGCUCUGGUCAGGAAUUCUGGUGCUUUUUUCAACUCGUAAUGAGGUUAAACUAUGCCAUUGUUUCACUCCAACUUACUCUUGCAAAAACCUUAAAGCUGUAGCUAAUUCGCCUCUUAUGUAAAGUGAUCAUUUUAUUUUCAAAACAAAAUUUGAAAUUCUUUAACGUCCCAAUAAACCACGAAAAGUCCAGAAGGUACCUGUUGGAACCGUCGGACACAGGUUAAUCCACUAAGAGCUUCACGUUUCUCAUUUCGAUGUAGCGCUCCAAAGUCAGCCAGUCUAAUGGGCAAUUCUACAUAAUACAGCAAUAACAUAAAAAGAUGGUGUCAGCAAAGUAGACUUUACAACUUCAUGAGUAAUACUGAUAAAGAAAAGCAUUAAUUCUCCAUACUGUCUCUGUCCAAAACGUCACAGCAAUAAUGAGAUCAAACUGUACUUAAAAAAAGAGUCCCUAACCUCUAUAUGAGCGAACUCUGUUUUGGAACAUCAAGCAGUGACCAUGGCAAUUCACAGGUUUGAGCCCGAAUUCUUGUUUGUCAAUCUGCGCACGGAAGAAUAGAGCUUAGAUAUGUCACCUUACAAGCUUGCUAGUUGUUAAUGUAACAAAGUCAAGAAGACUGUUGAGCUUUGCAUGCACUCUUACAUCGAAAGUGAACAUAUCUUCCUUGUAGUUUUCAGCAUGUUCUGAUGAUGUUUCCCAGAGUUUCAUGUUGUAAAUAUUUGGUGAAAUGACCUGCCAAAUCCAAGGUUAUAAAUUUAGCAACCUUCUCUUACCCAGCACAUACUGGUUAAGUGUGUUAAAUAGUGAAAAUGAGGAGAAAAACAAAAACCUCAGUGUAUCCCCUUUUCCAAUAUUCUGUCUUAAUGAAUCCCAUCAACUUGUUGUAUACGCGAGUGCCAAGAGGGAGGAAGAAACAACUUCCAGGACUGGAUUUCGUAUACAUAUAUAAUCAGUUUCGUGACAAUAUAAACAAAGAGGAACUAACCAAACACGAAAUUGUAUAUUAAAACUGAAAGAACCUGAGUGAGUGACAAAUGAAAUGCUCCCGUGAAAUAAGAAAGUCCUGCAAAUAAAGAUAAUAAAAACAAUGCAAAGUCAUAUGAUUAUGCAGAUUCUUUUUAACAAGUAAAGCUAGUAAAUACCUUAAGUUGCUCAUCUUCCGGAAAUGAUAUCCCAUACACACUCCGCAAGCUUUCGCGGUCUCUGUUACCUUUCCAGUCAACUGAUAACGCCUGAGAUAAAUAGAAAACAUCAAACUUUAAAAGCAUAAGAAACAAACUAGAAUUUGAAAGACUUUAGAUCCUAUAGAUAGAGUUGGAAUGUUUACGUUCAAACACUUGAAAGCUUUCACAAAGGAAGUAUUUGGUAUAUGCGGUCCAGGACACAAAUCAACCAAUGGGCCACAUCUGUAGACUGUAAUGGUCUCUUCUUCGGCCAAGUCUUCAUUGAUGAUUUCAACCUAUAAGAUGAAUAAGUAUGAGUCCAAUUCAAAAGCUGAAUGAUUAUUUGUAUCACUUGUCUUAAAACCCACCUUAAAGUUAUUAUCAGAGAACAUCUCAAGUGCCUGAUCCUUGGUCACUUCAAUCCUUUCAAAUGGCUGUCCUUCCUGCGAUGUAGACAUGAUAGAAUUCGAACAAAUUACAAAAAUUACAAAAAGGAAGCUCUGACUGAUCAAAGAUAUAUCAGACUAAAGAAGAAGAAAGACAUACCUCAACAGCUUUGGCAACACCUGCUUCGAUGUUUGGAAAAUGAUUCUCGUUUAUGGCUACAUCGCCAUGAUAAAAUGCAUCAUAAUAAAAACCCUGCAAUAAACAAGUCACUACUAACAUUAGAGAUAGCCUUUUUUUUUUUUUGCACAUUUUAAAGAUGAAAUACCAAGCUACUCUUACCCAAAGAAACAUAAUUAAGAGGGAGUUUAAAAAAAAAAACAGAAGAAACGUUAACGACUGCUCUGACCUCAUAUAUGGUUUUGCAGGGUCCAAUGUAAAGCUUACAUCCAUAUUCCUGCUCCAGAGCUUGGCCGAGAAUGUGAGCACUAGAAUGCCAGAGAGUAUCACGGCCUUGGUUGCUGUCAAAUCCUAAAAUCUCCAGCGAACAAUCACUUUCCAGGGGCCUGUUCAUGUCCCACAGGACAUUAUUAACCGAAGAAACGAGGGCAGAUUUUGCCAAACCCCUAGAAAUCUGCACUGCGAUGUCCAUUGGAGUGGUCUCCCAUCUCUUCCCUUCUUUCACGAUACCAUCUGGGAGAAGAGUAAUCCUAUAUGCAGUCCAACCAAAACCCACAGAUUAAGAAAUUAAAUUGCAAAACAAAUUAGUGUAUCAUGUACGAUUUUAUCAGCAUCGGAUUUUACUUGAUGGGAUCGUGUGGGAGAGAUUGAAGCUGCUCGAGGUGAUCGGCUUGGAUUUGCUCGAAGAGCCUGAUACGCUUGGGGAUGACGGAUGAGAGAUAAGCCUCGUCCCUGGGAGGAUGAUUAUUCGCCAUUGAUGGAGGAGCAGAGAACGAAGAAAGACAAAAGAGAAAACUCUAGUAAAUAGACGAAAUUGAAGAAGAUGACGUUGAGACUUGAGAGAGCAGAGAGGAGUAGAUUUAUCACAAGUGCCAACAGGAGCUGUCGCAAACCAAAAGUAGCUUGCGGAUCAAGUUUUAUAGUAACUUUCCUUUUCGCUAUUACAUAAUUUCCGUUUCGCUUUUACUUAAUUUCCUUUUCGUAUUUAGGUAGAUUUUUAUUUUCCUUUUUUAGGUUAUUAAUUGAAUUGUAGCUUUUAAUGCAAAUUAAAAUAUAUAUAUCGUAGAUUUUUAUACUUUUUUUCUUUUAGUUACUUUUUCAUAUUUAUAAAUUUUCUUGCAUUCUCUUUGUUUUAUGGAAACUUUUCCAAUAUUUUUAGAUAGAUAUUUAAAACCAUAUCUAACAAUUUUGAAUAAAUAUUAUCCAAAGGACCAUUUAGGCCUAUUAAUUAAUUAGGAAGCUAGGAAACGGUUUCAAAUUGGGUUGAUUAUGUAUGUAUAAUUGGGCUUUAAAAAGGCCCAUUAGGCCUGGAAGCUAGAAUCAGUUCUCAAGGUGCAUGCAACUUUCAAGUUGUAAUAGCGAAAUAGAUCUGACAAAAAGGAGAAAAGUGACACCAAGAUGCGACCUUUCCUAUUUUUACAAGCAAGCAUCACUUUAUAACAAAAAUUUAAAAUUUAAUAUUUUUUGGAUACGGAAAGAAAAACAAAGACAAAUUAUCUAAUUAACCAACAUAUAAAUCCAAACUCUCUCUUCAUCAUUAUUGUUACUAAUUUUGGUAGUAUGUUAUUUUAAAUUAACGAAAAAAAUAGUAUAUCACGUUUGAUAUUUGAAAUUUCUGAUAACACACCAUCCAUAUAUAAUAUUCACAAGAUAUGCAUGAGAGCUGAUUUUGUUUGGAAUUAUAUCAACGGCUUGCAUGUAAAAACAAAAUAAUUCAUAAAUAAAUCGGGAUUUUUAAUAUAAAAAGAAAAUUAUAUAGAAAAAAUUAUAAUCAUUAUACAAAAACUGUAUCAUCAUCAUCAUCAGCUUGAAAUCACUCUCUCUCUUCCUUCUUCCCCGCUCACUGUAGUCUCUUCUCUCUCUCUCUCUCUCUCUCUCUCUAAGGAUGUCUUCGACAACAAUCGGCGAGCACAUCAGACUCCGACGAGCUAGGAACCAAACAAUCCGUCACCUGGAGGCCGCCGAAGAUGAUCCGCCGCUGAGCCACGUCGUGCUUCCCAUUUCUCAGCCUAAUAGCUUUUGUAACUCCGCAGUGUCUUCCUUCUUUCUCCUCCCGACGUCCUCCUCCUCCAACGAACCAACCAAGAAGAAACCGUACCAAACGGCGUCGUUUCGAGGGAUGGGUUGCACUGCCGCUGCAACAGCUCGGGAGGUUUCUGUUCCUUCCGUGAUUCGCUCCUCCGCUGAUUGGGAUGCCAGAAUUAGAAAUGAUAAGAAGAAGAAGCAGAAGAAGAAGAGCAAGACGAAUAAAGGAAGCUAUGAAGAUGGUUCAAUUAGGAUUUUAAGCGAGACUACAAGAGACGUUGAUGGUGGUGGUUGCGUCGCGAUUCCUGAUGUUUGGUGCGGACCAGGAAUAGGAUUCUCGACUGAUGCUGUUGUUGAUCGAUCCGUCCAUCCUCCUCGGAGAAGGACUCUUCCGUCGUCUCGUCGCAAAAUUGAUGUGGAUAACAACAAUUCUAAUCACACUAUUGAGGUAAAUUUGGUAAAUUUGAUCUAUUCCUAUUCUAAUAUUUAGUAUUAUAAUAAUUUAGGAGUGUUAUUGGAAUUUGACUUUGAGCGAAUGGUAUAGUUUAGGCAGAAACUGUUUGGAGUGGUUGAAGCUGUAGUGGUUGUUGUUAGCUCUAUGAUAUUGCUGGACCAUGUUGGUUGGUCUAUUAAAUUUAUGUUUCUGGUUUUGGAUUCUCUUUAGACAAUCACAAGGGUCUACCUUUUGUAGUAGAGAUGAUCUAUUAUUAGUUUUUCUUUUGUUUGAUGUGAGGAAUCUGAGGAUAAUAUAGUAUAUAUUUUGUUUGACGUGUGGGUGGUCCUCUGGGUUUGAUAGGAAUUAAAGAAAUCAGAAUUGACAACUCUGGUUUGGUUAGAGAAUGGAAUCUGAGCAUUCUUUUUUCUUCUUUGGUUAGAAGGAUGGAAUCGUAGCAUUGUUUAAACAUAUGGUUGGGUUCAAUUAGUUAGGAGAGUUCUUGGGAUCAUGUUGAUUUUUUUUUGUUUUUUGUUUAUUCAGAUUCUAACUGUUUAUUCUGAUCGACAAAAUCACAUUGUUUCAAAGGACUUGAAAAUUUGGGAACUACCCUUUUGUGUAUGUUUGAACAAUGAUAAGGGGAUGCUACACAUGUUGGCAGGGUUCUUCUGUUCUUCCCAGGCGGUUUCUCAAUCAAGAAUCUCAUUCUCAUGCAUCAUCACGCGCUGAACCAACAUUGUUAUCAAGUAGAUGUCGUAGCCACCUUCGACAGUCUUACCCUGAUGAUCUUACCGAGGUAGAAUGUUAUUGCCAGAUAGUUUCCUUAACUUUCUAACUUUCUUGUACCUCUGGUAUAUGUUAGAGAUUUGACCUCUGACUCUACCAACUGAUCACUCUUAGCACUGUUUUAAGGUUUGACUUGUUAUUUGGCUUCAUAUCAACAAAGAGAUUAUUGUAGAGUGCCCCUUUGUCUCUAACAUAUUCCAGAGACUGAUAGUGUGGAAGACGAAUACUGUUAUCAUUCUCUUUAGCAAAAUAUUUUUUUAUGGUGCUGUAAACUGUUUUCGAUGGCUAAUAGCAAGUCGAAUUAUUAAACCAUGCAGCUAGUGUAGUCAUAUUAAAACAAUCCUGUUGUUCACUACAGAUGAUGAUGCUCCAGAAUGGUUUUGUAAUGGGAAGAAUAACAGAUUUGCGUGAUCACUUCCACGAAUUGAGGCUCGAUGUUGAUAGCAUGUCAUAUGAGGUAUGUUUCUCAAAAUCCCAUGAGAAAACAGUAUAUAAUUUCACCUUCUCAACUUUAUCGAGAGUGUUUUCUUUGAUCUACACAGCAACUUCUUGAGCUUGGUGAUAGGAUUGGUUAUGUGAAUACUGGACUUAAAGAAAGUGAGAUACAUCGUUGUCUUGGGAAAAUUAAACCCUCUACAUCACAUACUCUUGCUGACAGAAAAUGCAGCAUCUGUCAGGUAAAGUCAUGAUUGAGAGUCAAUGGUUUCUCAAAACUUCAAUCAGAUUAUUACUGUGGGAUGAUGAGUUUUCAUAUUGUUAUUCCUCAAUGUUUGAUGAUCACAGGAUGAGUAUGAGAGAGAGGAUGAGGUUGGAAAACUGAACUGUGAACACAGCUUUCAUGUCCAUUGCGUGAAACAAUGGCUAGCGAGGAAGAAUGCUUGUCCUGUCUGUAAGAAGACAGCAUACUUCAAGCCUUGAGAGUUAAGAGACUUGUUGUAUCUCGCAUGGUUUAUGAUACCUCAAGAUCUUUCAUUUAAGCUUUCUCGCUGUAUAGAUCUGAAUCAUCUGCUAGUCCUCUAUUCGUAAUUGUUGUUUUUGGAUUUAGAAAUCACAAUUGUGCUUCUAAAUCUUAUUUUAUUUUGUGGAGUCUAUUUUAUGUGAUUGAAAUACUAUUUUUACAACACUUGUAAGAAGAACAAGAGUUUGAAAUCUAUGUAAGUCUCUAUUUUGUAGUCUUGAUAGAUUUAAGACUCUGGUAGAGAGUAAUCUAGUGUAUAUCAUACACGCCCGCAACUAAGAUUUAAGAGGAUGUUGGUAUGCAAUAAUAUAUCUGUGAGAUUGGAACACAACCCAGACCUUUUCUUCAGGACAUAAAAAAAAGUGUUUAGGCAAGGCAAGAAUUCCCAAGAAGACAUUAUAUUAUAUCUUAUCCAAACGAGUUUAACAUGAGAUCAAAGUACUUAGGACUUGCAACAUCUAAGAAAGGCAAUACAAUUUAAGACUCUUCUUUUACAUAAGAAAUCCCUCGACUUGAACAUCUUGAAUAUCGGGUAACUGCUGAGAUUCUUGGCAGUGUAGGGAAACGCCAUUAUUACUUGCCAUUGGUUUUGCCUAGAGAGUUGAAGUUCAAUCUGCAAAGAAUCACAAAAACAAAACACACACAAUCUUUCUCAGAAUCCCAAAUGCACAUUUAAAACAGCGGGAGUAAAAAACACAAAGAAAACCACUUACUUUAUUAUCGGUUUCCGCUGUUGUACUGAAGCUCUAUGUGCCACCUCAGGCUGUCGCAUGGGAAGAACCUUUCAAGAUAAGAAAAAUCAGACAAAAAGAAGAUCAAGAGACCAGUUUUAUGUAUCACACUUUGAUAAGAAAAUAACAAACCUCGAGUUCUUCCACUGCUUCAUUGGGAAAUAGAGAGCCAUUUAAGGUAGUAGCUUCUAAUGGAGGUAUAGUUGCAGUAGCCAUCGGGAUUGCAUCUUGAAGAGUUAUCUGCUGUAUCAUUUGAUUUCCAAAAUCACCACUUUCUUCAAGCUCCUCCGCUUCUUGACUAGGAGCUUGAGGAGUGGCUAUCUUCUCUAUCGGAAGACUCUCUGCUGGAUCCUUACUGAAAACAACAACCUUAUCUACUGAAUCCUUACUGAUAUGAUCAGAUUUACCGUUUGUACAAUAAUCUUUCAUAGGACUUGAACAAAUGGAUCCAACAGAUGGAUUUGGGCUCCCGCCCUCAGAAUUCUCUACAGGCACUGAAACAGCAAUGUGUUUAGAGGGCUUUGGCUGAUCGGUUAGUGCUUCAUCAGCUCCCCAUUUUCUUUUCCUCCCAUCUCCUGGACUGUUAGACCCAGCUUUACUUUCAGAACUCAUUUCAGUAGUAGUAGUAGUUGUAGUAUUAGAAACUGCUGCAGAAGAAAUUCUGUGCUCUGAACGGCGUUUGCUGUCCCAUGUUCCUUUAGAGGUAUGUGAAGGUCUAAUUCCACCAGGAAAAACAAAAUUAGGUAAGCUUCUCCGUUUUAUAUGGCUGACACUAAUCUCCAUCCCGGGAAUCCACAACAUGUAACCAUUAACAGUGUGUUUGAACUCCUCGACUGUUCUUCUAAUAUCAAAUUGCUCGCCUUCUGCUGCAGGAACUCCUUGUUUCCGUUGCAGACCCAUGAAGUAAGAGCAAUUGAGUGGUCGGGAUGCGUCUUGAAAAUCAUGGGGAUGAGGGUGGCACUGAAGCAUAUCAUAAGUAUGUCUCUCAAUCUAAGAUGACAAUGCAAACAUCCAAGUCAAAUCAGUAUAGACGUAAAAUCAGGAGAAACUACUCAAGUUGAAAAAACAGGACUUUUCACCUUCAGUGUAAGCUGGCGGAGGCGUGACUCAACCCAGCCUUUCCAUUUUCUUAGAUCAUCGACAUUUGCAGCAGAGAUGUCUAUCUGAAGAUAGUUUUUAUACGCUUCAAAGAAUGCAAAUGGCUCAAAAAGGGUAUCCCAAUCAGCUUUGUUUGUUUCCAUAGCCUGCAAGGCAUCAAGCCAUAGUAAUAAAGUCAAUGAAUCUGCAUAGAAGCCAACCAUUUGGACUUGUCUGAAUCUUACCUCACAUAUUUCUUUUCCUCUCUGAAACUCUCCUGUCAUAAUCCGCAAUGUACUUGCAGAGACAUUAUAACUGGAGUUCAUACAUGGGUAAGCAGGAGUAAUAAUGGGCAUUAUAUGCAACCGGUCCUUUGGGUUUCUUCUAGGAUCCCAAACUUGAAGACCGAGGGAUCCUUCAUCCAUAGAACAAAGAAGAACGGGAUUUGGCCAACGCCAUUGAUUGUAGACCCUAAAGAACCUAGAUGCUAACAUAUUCGGGAGGGCAUUAGGAUAAAGCUGACAUAUCCGGGCUACAAGCAACGCCCAAUUUAUACCACCAAGAAAUCCCGAGACCUAACAAUUGACAGAAAGAGACUUUACUUAGCAACAUGAUAGUCACAUAAUGAAAUGAAUUAAAGAGCUCUAGAGAAGGAUUGUCCAUACAUUAGAGUAUACUCCACGACGUUUGGCCCAAAAUCGCAUGCAUCUUAGUGUUGUCCUGAAAUUCUGCUCAGAAACAAAACAUGUGUCCAGACUAAGCAAAUCAUAUGGAUGAAUAAAAACAAAAAUAAAAGAUAGAUAUGUCUCGUCAGUGAGCCCAAAACCUGAAUAUUUGGAACCAGACGCAAGAUUUGGUCAGUAACUCUACAACCGUUAAGGCUUCGAACAGUUUGCUCAUCAGCAUUCUGUAGAAUGGAGUCCUGUGAUAUAUCUAAGUCCUGCACCAUUAUCAUCCGGAAAAUAUCAAAAGUUAAGUUCCCAUAUGAGGAACACUGUCAGAGCUCCAUAUUCUAAAUGCCUACUUCUAAGAGAUCCACUCAUAACAUUCGUUUAAAUUCAUGAAAACUGCGCAAUAGAGUAAAACUAAUUGAUUGCAAUCAGUUAGGAUGGGUUUAAUAAGGUUCAUAUCUAAAGGUUAAAAACAAAAUAAUCCAUAAAGUGGAAUUCAUUUCCUAAUCCUCAUAAAUCAACUAAUCAUCUCGAUGUUGAGUCAAGAAACUACCUCAGGUAUAACCCAGAGUGGAAGUUGUGCAUAAAGGAGAUCUAUAGAAACUCCAUUAAGUUUGAAUCCCAUCAAUGGAACAUGAGCAUCAGGCACAGGGUGCAGUUCAGUUACUUCAGGCAUUUCUGACAGCAUUCUUUGUAGCUCACCAAAGAAAUCACCCUAAUGGGAAAUAUAAAGAUGAAUAUUGAACACAAUAAAUCGACAUAAGAAAUAUAUGGCAUACAUAUAUAUAGAUGCAAGAGGUUAUAGUACUUCUCUAGUUGCAUGUCUAGGUCCGACGCAUAAAGUGUCUAUAUCAGCACCAGGUCCAUGUACCUAUUUGAAGAAGUAAAACGGGCUGUUAUAGGAACUCUCAAUAUGCUAGAAAUAGGUGACAGUGAGAUUUAAUAAAAUGAACUCUUAGGACACUGAAAAUUUAAGAAUUAAGUUUUCUCACCAAGAACACUCUAUUGUGUCCUAGGUUAACCAACAAUUAAAAUGACUGAAAAGCUCAUUCAGACAUGAUUCAAGUGACAAAGAUAACACUGAUCUCAAUACGUUUAAAUGCGCGCAAAGAACAUGUGAAAGACAAGUGAUUCUACUUCCCAUUGAGGAACAUCUCAAGACAACAGAAGUAAAACACAGCUUUCACCAAUUCACAUUGUUCCCUUUCCCUCUACACCAAAUAUUCCGCAAUACAAGAAGAAUGACUAAAACAAAGCUAAGUCUUCUAUAGAUCUUUAUCGUUACCCCUAGUCGAUAAGAACCGAAAGUAAAUAUCUUUGCAUUCGCCUCAUGAAGCAGCUGAUCAUUCAAGCCUUUGGCGCGGCUGAUUGUUUUAAUCCAUGUUUUUACAAUCUGGACACAUAAACAACGAAGAACUAUCAAGACUAAAUUACAAACAUGGAUGAAAAUCCAUAAGCACAAGUUCAUAGGAUUUUGAAAGUAGUACAAAACCUGAUCUAGUAUCCCCAGAACUUCCUCCCUUUUAACAGCUUCCUCAUCACUCUCGUACAAUCCAACAUCUUGCAAGUACUGAACAACCAAGUAACAAAAAUUAAAUAUCAAUCAGUAACAAACUAAGAUUGAAAUAAUUCAUCAAUAAACUUAAGAAACUAGAAAAACUGAAGCAAACAAGACAGAGGCUUUAAGAGAUCAGCAAAACCUUCUCGAGCUCUCUGGUCUUAAUCACAUCAAGCUCCGCUGGUCCUCCCAAAGAGAUAGGUUCUGUAAUGCCAAACCUCUGCCCAUUUUGCUGGACACUAGACAUCGAUCUUACUUACUUUGUUCUUUUCCUCUCUCUUUUUUGUCUCUCUUUUUUUUUUCUUAAUAUUUCAAUCAGAUUCUAUGAGUAUAAAAAGAAUUAUCCUUUUUUUUUUCUCUCUCUCAACGUUUCUUUACCUGAAUAAUUUCGAAUAAUGUAAAGCUAAAAAACGAAAACUCAGAGAAGAUUACUAUGGAGAAAUUGUUGAUCAUACAGAAUACAAAAUCAAAGGCCUUUUGCUAAAUUAAAAAUCAAAGCAACAAAAACAACACAUGGAAUCAAACAAAAGUAGCCAAACGAGUCGCGAGGGCUCUUCACGGGAACAACCCUUAAACCCUAAUCCGAUUGAAUUGGUGAGAUACAACGAACGGAAUCGAGCGAACAGCAAAGAAAGCCUCGGCCUUUGUACACCCGAUUGAUUGAUGCGAACUGGGUCCGGUCGGUGGAAGCGAUCCCAGGCGAUACAAGACGAAUCUCCGGCAGAGUGAAGAAUCUAUUAUUUCCCAACAAAAAUCUCGUGAACAAUCUGCGGAGUUUCUAGGUUUGGGUCGCCACUUCUCUCGCGUGGGGGUUGCGACAAAGAACUCUCGGGCCACACAUAUAUAAAACUUAUGUAGAUUAGGGGAACCUAUUGAUAUUCCCAUGAGACCCAGAAAAAAAAAAAAAAAAAAGGAAAAAACCGCGUUCCUGAACCCGACCCAGUUUUAAACCCGACUCGUGUAAUUCAAAAGCCGACCCGGAAUAGAAAUUAAACAAAAUUCGAAAUUAUAUUAAACUAUGAGAAUUUCACAAUCAUCGCUUAAUUAGAUUCUUAACGUUUUUUUUUUUUGUUUACUAAUUUCACAAUCAUCGCUUAGUUAAAUUGAUUUGAAUUAAUUUCGGUUAGAUUAGUAGAAAUUGAUUUGAAUUAACAUCGCAUAAGAAGACGUUUGGUGAUGACAUGAGCGAGACUAAGAACAAACUAUAUAUAACCAACUUCCCUGAAAACGUUUGUAAAGAUGUUGAGUCAAGAAAAAUGUCAGCCUCGGUUUUUACUUUUUAGUUUAUGAUGGAGCAAAAUAAAAGCCAUCACACCGCAUCAGUCUCAUAAUGAGACUCUCUCUCAUAGCCCAAGGAAUGGUGAACCAGUGUACAAAUCUUAACUUUAAUGAUGGUCUAAAGCCAUGAUUAAUGGAGAGAUAUUUCUAGAAUCCAGCCUAAUUUGAUUUCUUUCUCUUUUAAAGUUCUCAAUUACCACCAUUUGCUUAAUUUUUUUAAUUUUUUUUUUGAUAAAAUAUUCUUAGCUAUUUUUAUUUAUGUAUAUAUAUUUAUUUUUGUUUUGAACACAGCUAUAUAGUUAUUUCUUUUUUUUUUGAAUAAAUUUUAUAUGAAGUUAAUGUAUUUAUUAUGUAAAAAAAAGAAAUUUGAUUAUACUUUUUUUUUUUUUCUUCGGGGUUUGAAUCAGUUAAGUUUUUUUUUUGGUUAGCAAAUGUCAACGUCAAUAAUUAGUUAUUUCUUUCUAAAUUUAAGUUACUCUCUGACUUUUCCUGUUAAAAUCGAAGAACGUUUUAUCCUAUUGUCAAGUUCUUUUAGCUGUAGUUACUACACUUAAUUAGAUACUAGGAUCAGAUUCAACCAACCAAAACCAAUAGAGCGAAUCAAAUCAGUUGUGUUAGAAAACUAAUCUUAAUUAGUAAUGUUUUUUUUUUUUUUAAGUAAUCAUUCUUCUUCUUCCCAUGAAUAUGUGGCCGCUACUAUAGGAAGAAUCGUAACAGAAGCAACAUCACAAUCAAAGACCGGUGCUCUGUUGUCUUUACCAGAAGAAUAAGAAAAUUCUCAUCUUUCACCCUUUUAUUUUUUUUUGUUCCCGAUCAUGAAUGUGAGAGACGAGGAAAAAACUCCGGCGGAGACUCACGGCGGAGGAGAGGAGAACAAACCACCGGAGAAUAAAAGAUGGCGACUUAAUUCUCCUCUAGCUCAAGUGAGCUUAAUGGGAUUCGUCUGUUUCUGCUGUCCAGGAAUGUUCAACGCUCUCUCCGGUAUGGGAGGCGGUGGUCAAGUAGAUCCAACCGCCGCUAACAACGCUAACACCGCCGUUUACACCGCUUUCACAGUUUUCGGCGUUUUAGGCGGCGGGUUUUACAACGUCCUCGGUCCACGGCUCACGUUAGCCGCUGGAUGUUCGACCUACGUGCUCUACGCCGGAUCUUUCCUCUACUACAACCAUCACCACCACCAAGCUUUCGCGAUCGUGGCCGGAGCUUUACUCGGUUGCGGCGCGGGUCUUCUAUGGGCCGGAGAAGGAGCUGUGAUGACGUCGUACCCUCCGCCCCAUCGGAAAGGCACUUACAUCGCUUUGUUCUGGAGCAUCUUCAAUCUCGGCGGCGUCAUCGGCGGAUUAAUCCCGUUUAUCCUAAAUUACAACCGUAGCUCCGCCGCAUCGGUCAACGACUCGACGUACAUAGCGUUCAUGUGUUUCAUGUUCGCCGGCGUUCUUCUCUCGUUCGGGAUCCUCCCGGCAACAUCUGUCAUCCGUAAUGACGGAUCUAAAUGCUCUGCCGUGAAAUACUCCCGCCCAUCGAUCGAAGCAGCCGCCGUCCUCCGGCUAUUCCUCGAUCGGAAAAUGCUCCUCAUCGUCCCUGCGGCUUGGGCUAGUAACUUCUUCUACAGCUAUCAGUUCAACAAUGUGAAUGGACUUCUCUUUAACCUAAGAACCAGAGGAUUCAACAACGUCUUCUAUUGGGGAGCUCAAAUGGUUGGUUCCAUCGCGAUAGGUUACGUGAUGGACUUCAGCUUUAAAAGCCGGAGAGCUCGAGGAUUCGCCGGAAUAUCAGUAGUGGCGGUGGUGGGGACAGCGAUAUGGGGCGGAGGGUUAGCGAAUCAGCACGGUUACUCGUUGGACAAUCUACCGGAGAAGAAACUCGAUUUCAAAGAUUCAGGGGUAGAAUUUGCGGGACCGUUCGUGCUGUAUAUGAGCUAUGGAUUGUUAGAUGCCAUGUAUCAGAGUAUGGUGUAUUGGUUGAUAGGAGCAUUGGCUGAUGAUUCACAGACUUUGAGUAGAUAUAGUGGAUUCUACAAAGGAGUGCAGAGCGCAGGAGCUGCAGUGGCUUGGCAAGUGGAUACUCGUAAGGUUCCCUUAAUGUCACAGCUUAUUGUUAAUUGGUCACUCACUAGUGUAAGUUAUCCUCUACUGGUUCUUCUUGUGUAUUUGUAUGUUAAAGACCAAGAUUAUGAUGAUGAUAGUGGUGAUAAGGUUUAGAGAAUAGUUUAUAGAAGAACAUUGUGUCAACUUUAUGUUUUCUUUUUUGAUAUGAAGCUACAAAACAAACAAGAUUUGAGGCUUUGAAAUGUCAAUAUGCCUUUAUGCAUUUUAUGGUAAUUGAGACUGUUUGGAUUGUUCGUUCAUUAGAUGAAGUCCUUCUAUUGAGUGGUUCACAUAACUUUUGAGUCUAUGUUUUUUUUUUUUGUUUUUUAGUAUAAUGCCAAUCUUCGUUGGAUGGUGUGUUACGUUACGCCAGUUUACAUCCUUAUCAUCGACCUACAAUUCCCAUAUUAACCUUAUCAGAAUAUAAAACUUACACCGCAGAUACACAUGCAGAAAUAAAUAAAUUACAAAACUUACUGUUUUUAUCUGAAAAAAAAAAAAAAAAGAACAUUGUAGGCCCGUACGAUGUAGUUUUAAAUUUCAGAUCCGGUAAGCACUGUUCAAAGUAGAUAAUCUCGGGAAAAUUUGGGCACGGCUUUUGACCAAUCAACAUACCGCCAUCACCAUAUUUGUAUCCUGUAUAUUAUCUUUCUGCAGUUCUUGAAUCUGGUAUCACAUAGACAACACAAAAUUUUAUCUAAUCAUCAGAGUCCAUGGAGACCAAACAGAGUAUACCUCUCCUCACACCUUAUAAGAUGGGACCCUUGAAUCUUUCUCACAGGUACCUCCCUACUGUCUUUGCAUCUUUCUUCAACUAGUCCAUACUGUUUGUCAACAAUGAUUUUGUUGCCUGUAAUCUCUUCCUCUCUUCUUCUUCUUUUUUUCUGCUUGAUUGUUAUCUUUGAGUUGUAAUCAGGGUUCUUCUGGCGCCAUUGACGAGAUCAAGAUCGUAUGGUAACAUUCCUCAGCCUCAUGCCAAGUUAUAUUACACUCAGAGAACAACACCUGGUGGUCUUCUUAUUUCCGAAUCUUGUGUAGUGUCCCAGACAUCAUUGGGGUAUAUAUAUAACUCUCUUCCGGAUUGUAAUAUUUUUAGCUUACAAUUCAAACUACACUAAUAUGUGAGCUCUGUUUGUGAAGUUAUCCGGAUAUACCUGGAAUAUGGACCAGAGAGCAAGUGGAAGCGUGGAAGCCCAUCGUGGAUGCUGUUCAUUCGAAAGGCGGCAUCUUCUUCUGCCAGAUUUGGCAUGGUGGAAGGGUUUUUCAUCAAGGUUUGCUACUAAAUCCCUUUCUCCUUGUUGCAACUAAAUUGCCACCAAAAAAAACAAAAAACAGUGAUGCCUUGUAUACUAAAUUUGCUCCGUUCUUUAGACCAGGCAAAUGGAGAAGCUCCUGUCUCCUCUACCGACAAGCCAUUGACGUGCAAGAACAUGUAUGGAGGUCAGUUUAUACCUCCAAGGCGGUUAAGGACCGACGAGAUUCCCGCCAUUGUCAACGACUUUAGAAUUGCUGCAAGGAAUGCGAUGGAAGCUGGUAAGCAAAGUCUUUGGAUGUUAGAUGUAACGUAACGGAAAUGAAAGCUGAUCAAGAGACUUCACAUAUAAGUACAGGCUUUGAUGGAGUGGAGGUUCAUGGCGCACACGGUUACCUGAUUGAUCAGUUUCUAAAAGACAAAGUGAAUGACAGAAGCGACAAAUAUGGUGGGUCAAUAGAGAACCGCUGUAGAUUCGCUCUGGAAGUAAUCGAAGCAGUGGUGAGUGAGAUCGGUUCAAAUCAUGUAGGAGUCAGACUCUCGCCAUUCGCAGAUUACAUGGAUUCCGGAGACUCGAAUCCCGAAGCAUUAGGACUCUACCUGGUGGAAGCUAUGAACACGCAUGGAAUCCUUUACUGUCACAUGGUUGAACCUAGAAUGAAGACCCUUGAAGAAAGCUUCGAGUGCACGGAAUCGCUUACGCUGAUGCGAAAUACCUUCAAAGGCACGUUCAUAGUAGCCGGAGGUUAUUCUAGGGAUGAUGGGAACAAGGCGGUGGAAGAGGGAAGAACCGAUCUGGUGGGUUAUGGACGGACUUUCCUGGCGAAUCCUGAUCUGCCGAGGAGAUUAGAACUCAACGCGCCGUUGAAUAAGUACGACAGAUCGACGUUCUACACUUCUGAUCCUGUGGUGGGAUACACAGACUACCCUUUUCUCGAGACCACAGACACAACUUCUUAAGGGGUUUCUUGAAAUGUAUAAUUUGCAAAACAUAAUUGUUAAGCACACAAUCUCUAAUUCUCGAAGUUGUAUCAUUUCAGGAACGAAUGAUCACAAUAUGGAACCAAAAGAAUGGGUUCCAAAAUUUAUAUCCAAUGUCAAUUGCUUCAACAAAACUAUAAUGAAAUACAUGGGGUUAAAAUGAAUUAUACAGAUACUAAAGGUACUAACUUGUAAAAUCUUGCAACUUUGGUGUAAAGCUAUUUGUGUCGCAAUCCUUGCGACGGCGACCAGAUAAUUGCCGGGAAAUCAACUGAGACACUGCAAUGGAAAACCCGAAUCACAAGCACGCGGCUGAUUCAUUUUCCAGCGAGGAUUUGGUGUCACCGAUGAAGAAGGCGAAGAAGUCAGAGAAGACCGGAUGUGAUACGUCGGAUGAGAAGCAGGAGAUUUCCGGCGGAGGAGAAGCCGUAGCCGAGCUUGCUAAUACCACUAGCUGUGUAGCUGAAGAGAAGAAGGAAUUUAUGGUUGAAGCUGAUGGUGCUGAAGACAAAGGAGCUAGACAUACAAUGGAAGAUGUUUAUGUGGUUUUGCCUGACGCUUCUUUGGAUUUCCCAGGGAAACUAAGGUACACAAAUAUUACAAGCUUUCAAGUUGAAUCUAGAUUAUUAAUAGGAUAGAUCAAGCCAUUUCUCUAUGUGGGACUUGCAAUUAGGAAGAUCUUGUGUCGCAAAGUUGAAGGCUUGAUUUGGUUGGCCAAUUCCAUUUUUCAACUUGUUUUGUAAACCUGUGGGUUUGUUUCAAAACAAAAACCAGACUCUUCUGUAAUGAUUUUCUUAUUAUGUAGGUGUGCACAUUUUGCCAUUUAUGAUGGGCAUGGAGGUCGUUUAGCUGCAGAGUUUGCUAAGAAGCAUCUUCACCUUAACGUUCUUUCAGCUGGGUUACCACGUGAGUUGGUCUGUUUAACUUGGUUCAGAUUAUUAAUAUAUUUAUCACAAAGCAAUACUUUUUUUUUUAUGUCACUCAGUCGGUCUCACUUCUUCUUCUUUUCUGUCAAAAUGUUGGAAUGCUGCCUCAGCUGGAUGUCAAAGUUGCUAAAAAGGCCAUUCUUGAAGGUAUUUAAGUUCAGUUCAUAAGUCUUUUCAAGCUUUGUAGUUACUCCAUUUUGGCUAUUAAGAUCCACAGAUUCUGAACUGUUAAAGCAACUUUGCUAUCAGGUUUCCGGAAAACCGAUGAGUUGCUUCUGCAAGAAAGUGUUUCAGGUAAUUUGUGUGUGUGUAUGUAUCUGUCUGCACCUAAGUGUCGGAUGUCUGCGCUUUUUUCAGCUGUUGAUUGAUUUGCUAAUAUCUGAUCCUAAGAAUCUUUGAGUUCAUAUAAACUUUUGGUUCUCCCUGACCUGUGUGGGUGCAGGAGGAUGGCUAGAUGGCGCCACAGCAGUGUGUGUCUGGAUAGUUGAUCAAAAGGUAUUGGUAGUUGGGAGGACAAUGAUGGGGUCGUUCCUUGUUUUGAAUAGAAUAUGUUGGCUCUGUUUUUUCAUAGAGUUCAUAAAAUUACUUAACCUUUUCUCCUGUAUUCACACCCAUUGACACUCAUGCAUUAGGUUUUCGUUGCCAAUAUUGGUGAUGCUAAGGCUGUUUUGGCAAGAUCCUCUAAUACCAACGAAUUGGGGAGUCAUACAGAAACAUGUAUACCGCUCAAAGCAAUUGUUUUGACGAGAGAGCACAAAGCGAUAUAUCCACAGGAGCGCUCUCGUAUUCAAAAGGUUAGUCUCUGAUGAAAAAGUGAUUUCCCCGUAACUUUUUGUACACCAUGCUCUGUUAAUAACUUAGUAUUGGGUUUUGCAGUCAGGUGGUGUUAUAAGCUCAAAUGGACGGUUACAAGGGCGUCUUGAGGUUUCUAGGGCUUUUGGUGAUCGUCAAUUCAAGAAGGUAAUGGUCCUAUGACUUCCUACGUUAUCUUGCCCAUAGUAUUGUACUUGUAUUAUUUUAUCUCUUGCGUCAAUCCUUUUACAUGUUCUUGAACCUUGCUCUGUAUCAUUUUGCAACUCCAGACAUUAAUCUUACCUUGAAUUUGUUAGCCUUCCUGAAUUUUUAGAAGAUAUUCGCAUCUAACACAAGUCAUUGUAUCCAGUUUGGCGUCACUGCAACCCCGGACAUUCAUGCAUUUGAAUUAACUGAAAGAGAAAACUUCAUGAUUCUUGGUUGCGAUGGAUUGUGGGAAGUAAGCUCUCUGUUUGUGGUUGUACAUUUCUCUAUAAGUACAUUGUGAGUGUCUUUUUUGCUGCUUAUAUAAUCUACACAAUGCAUCCAUUUUCAGGUAUUUGGACCAAGCGAUGCUGUGGGGUUUGUUCAGAAACUUUUGAAGGUAAAAACAUACCUACAGUUGCCGAAUCACUUUGUCCUAAGAGUGCAAGGGAAAUAUAAUGAGAUAUUUCUUACUUAGAUGCUAAGAGCUAUUAUUUUGUAGGAGGGCUUGCCUGUAAGUGUGAUAAGUCGCCGUCUUGUAAAGGAAGCUGUUAAAGAACGUCGUUGCAAAGACAAUUGCACAGCAAUCGUGAUAGUCUUCAAGCGUGGAUGACUUAAAGAAGAGCCUGACCUACCUGUGGGCAUCUAUUUCUCUGGCUUGUAUGAGUUUUUGUAACUUUUAGUUGGUAAACUCUUUUUGAGCUGUCAAUGGAUCAAUUAAAUUCUUGGGGCAGCCUUUAAAAGAAAAAAUAUUAAAAUCAAACAGAGCUCUCUUUGUGCAAAAGAUUCACAGAAGCAAAAGUAGAAAGCUUUAUAAUCAUAGACGGCCAUAGUACAGGAUGAUAAAGUUUACAUGAAUAAAGCCUAUUGGACAACAAAAUAUUAUCAUUGUGAAUUUAGAAUCCCUCUGGCUUGUAAUUAAGCUAAAAAAUGAAAAAGAAUAAAUCGCCAGCUUACACAAGCAGCAGUAAAUUGACAACUUAACAAUGUUGUGGUUUCACCAGAACAUGAAAACGGCAAAGGUAAGAGGACAAGGCAAGAGUGUGAAACCAACAAUCUUAUUGGAACUCAAGAUCUAGUUUCCUCUUCAGAUGAGAUCUAUCAGCACUACACAAUGAACAAGAAGAAGAUGUCAUUAAAACACAAUCAAUCUUGAGACCGUAAUAACAACUGACAUUAGAACACACAGUGAGGGUGAAAUGACUUUGUUUUUAGCUUUUACCUGGUGAUUGUUGGCCGGUUAGGAGGUCGCUCAGCGAGGAUGGUAAAAUCUAAUGACAUGGGUGCUUGUUGAUCCUUGUCAACAUGAGACUUCAAACUAUCAACCCUCCCACGCUCAGGCAUCACUCUUCUAAACUUUCGUGGUGGUGAUAACACUGUAAUGGCCUCAUGUUUACCGUCAGAGGAUGUACCAUCCUGCUUGCGGACUGGCUUUGGGAGCUUAGCUGGGUCCGUAGGAGCAGGUGCAGAAGUGAAGUACCUGAGAAAUUGAAAAGAAAAAGUUCUGACAGCAGGAAGCUAGAUAUAUCUUGCCUUUGAAUAGGUGGUGAACUUUAUGUACCUGUGUUCUAGAGCCUGCUUAACGGAAAUUCUAGCUUUUGGGUCAUAGGUAAACAUCUUGGACAACAAGUCGAGAGCAUCAUCACUAACUGCUGGGAAUAAAGAACGUAGAGAUGGUGCAGGGACAAAUUGAUACUCCACAUAAUCUGGAAGGUCUGUGACAUCAGGCCACUGAUCUGCUUUUGGUGUUCCAAAGGCAGCAAAAAUUUUGCUUAAUUGAUCGAUAUCACUGUUUCCCUGCAACAAAGGAAACUAAUUAAGUAAGCAUACCGAAAAAUUAGUGAUAAAGAAGUAACUAAGUAGUCUGAGAGUAUAACAUCCAAAGAGA